rnacentral:rRNA from 1 species
UGAGGAAUAUUGGGCAAUGCCCGCAAGGGUGACCCAGCAACGCCGCGUGGAGGAUGAAUGUCGUAAGAUUGUAAACUCCUGUUAGAGGGGAAGAAUAGUACCGGUUGGACCGGUAUAUGACUGUACCCUCAGAGAAAGCCCCGGCUAACUACGUGCCAGCAGCCGCGGUAAUACGUAGGGGGCAAGCGUUGCCCGGAUUUACUGGGUGUAAAGGGCGCGCAGGCGGGAUAAAAAGUCAGUGGUGAAAUCCUACAGCUUAACUGUAGAACUGCCUUUGAUACUUUUAUUCUUGAGUUCGGGAGAGAGAGACGGAAUUCCAGGUGUAGUGGUGAAAGACGUAGAUAUCUGGAAGAACACCAGUUGCGAAGGCGGUCUCUUGGUCCGACACUGACGCUGAGGCGCGAAAGCGUGGGGAGCAAACA